AUGGAUGCUAAGGAACAAAGAAGAAAAAGAGACAGAGAGCGUUAUGCACAGAUGAUCGAUGAAAAGAGGCAGGAGCAACUCAAAAAACGCCGUGAAGCCUAUCAAAAACAGAAAGAAAAAAUAUGCGCCCAACAAAGGCAGAUAUAUGCAAAUAUGCAGCCAGCACAAAAGAAAGCUAGAAUAGAAAAUAUAAAUGAGUUGAAGCACAACACAGCAAGCAAAGACUCAAUUGCGAUGGAGAACCCUGCAUAUAUCGCAACCGAACAGGAAGCUAAUACUUCUAUCUUUCCUGUAAAACACAAAAAACACGUGAAGCCAGGAGAAAGACAAGCAUUGCUACACCGUCGUAACGAAGAAUUCACGACAAGACGGUCGAAAACUGCUUCUGAAGACGCUUCCAUGACGGAAACCGGCAACGAUGACACAGAACCUCUACAGCAACCAGAAGUCGUGAUUUACGGUAAUACCCUAAAUUUUAUACAAUAG
rnacentral:rRNA from 1 species